CGGAGUAACCACUAACCCGUGAUGGAAAUAAAAUCUAACACAUCUAACGACGACAUUUCUAAUAUUGAGAUGGCAAUGGCGGCGGCCGCGAUUGAAUACCGGAUGCCGGCACCCAUGGACCUGGAACUGGACUGGGACAAAUUACGGAAACCAGAAAAGCUUCAAUUCUGCUAAACUGCAUUGGACAGGCAGCUCAAGAGUUGUUCUUCAACACAUUCUUAACAGGCGAAGAUGCGAACCCUAAACUCGUUAAAAUGAUUGGGUUUAUUGCAGUUCGAGCAGAUCUCCCCAUAGGCAGAACAACUACGAGGUCCAUGCCUCGAGUUACAUUUUUUACACAAGUAAGAUACAUUAUUAUUUUUAAAUUCAUUGUACUUAGCUUUGUUUUCAUGCUGUUGCCGCUGCUGUGAGUGUCGAUAUGGUUGCCGAGCUUGACUCAAGAGAGGUUAGAGAAUUCGCUAGGGAAUGGGGUUGUAAAUUCACAUUUUCAAGCCCAAGAUAUCCUCAAUCAAAUGGCAUGGCUGAACGUGCUGUUCAAAUAGCUAAAAAAAUGUU